rnacentral:lncRNA from 1 species
CGCGUGUGCAAACUGGCAGGGAUGGCUCUACCUAGUGGGGCUGCUGAAGGAUUGCGCACAUGUACGAAAAUUAUAACGCGAAGUUUCAAAAGCAUUAUAAAGAUGUCUGUUUGCACUCACAGGGUUCCCAGAAUGAAGUAUCCACCCUCCAUCGUUCCUGAGCCUGGCCUUUCUCCUGGAGCACUGGCAAUAACAGACUCCCUUACUCCUUGCAGAACUGUCCAGAUGGUUGAUAGCCAGAUGUUGA